CUCGUAGGCGGCCAACUAAGUCAGACGUGAAAUCCCUCGGCUUAACCGGGGAACUGCAUCUGAUACUGGAUGGCUUGAGAUCGGGAGAGGGAUGCGGAAUUCCAGGUGUAGCGGUGAAAUGCGUAGAUAUCUGGAAGAACACCGGUGGCGAAGGCGGCAUCCUGGACCGACACUGACGCUGAGGAGCGAAAGCCAGGGGAGCAAACG
rnacentral:rRNA from 1 species